CACAAAAUCAUGUUUUCCCGCC
rnacentral:siRNA from 1 species